UAGAAGAGGGUGUUGGAAACCAAGUC
rnacentral:piRNA from 1 species